CCACACAUUCGGUAGCUGUGUGGGCACAGCACAGCGGUGGCGUCGUCGUAUUGGUCUUUAGUGACGGGGAGUGGUUGUGACCUUGAGAGCGUGCCCACUCCUCCCCACCUGCGCACUCUAGCAUUCCCCACCUUCUCUCUCUCUCUCUCUUCCCUUAACCAAUGUCAACGACCACCCACCACCACCACCAUCACAACCCUCAUUCUUCUCCUAACCUACGCUUCCCUUCCCUUCCCUUCUUUUUCUUCUCCUAACCUACACCCCCAAUGUCCUCACCCACUCCCCGCCGCCGCUUCCCGCCGCUGUGCUGGACCGACGACGAGGCCCAAGCCCUCAUCUCCGUCUUCAAGGACAAGUGGUCCUCCCUCGGCCGCACCAAUCUCAAAGCCAACGACUGGGAUGACGUCGCCGCCACCCUCGCCGCCCAAUUCCCCCUCGUCUCCCCCUCCAAGACCGCCGCGCAGUGCCACAACAAGAUCGAGAAGCUCCGCAAACGGUACCGCUCCGAGAAGCAGCGGGCCUCGACCCGACCCGGUCGGUUCUCGCCUUGGGCUUUGUAUCGGUUUAUGGAGGAAUUGGAGGGCGAGUCUGGUAAGUCGGGUUUCGGGUCGGGCCACACGGCCCGUAAAGGUGAGGGGAAUUCGAGUUCUAGGUUUUUAGCUGAUUUGGAUGAAUUUGUUGAUGUACGGAGUGGUGGUGGUGAUGCUGGUUUUCCUGUGAAAUCAUUAGGUCAUAGGAAUUUGGCGCCUUUGUUUAAUCCUAAGAUGAAGUUGAAGAAGAAUGAAAGCUCAGGGUUUCUUCGAAGAUUCGGAGGAGUGGAUUCUAGUGGUGUUGGUGUUAAAGAUUUGGGAGGGGGUUCGGGUUUGUUGAGGAGUGCUAGAGAGGUCGAUCCGGUUGAAGAGAUGGUUUCGUCGAUUCAGUUGCUUGGGGAGAAGUAUAUGAAGGUGGAGAAGAGGAAGAUGGAGAUGGCUAGGGAGAUUGUGAUGAUGCAAAUGGACAUGGAGAUGAAGCAGACUCAGGUGAUUAUGGAGUCACAGCAACAGAUAGUGAAUGCUUGUGUGAGUGCAUUGUUGGACAGCAAGAAGAAGAAGAAGAGGAAGAUCAAGGCGGUGUCGACUGAUUCCUAGAUGGAGCUGCGGUUUAGUUGUUCAUGCUGUAAGGUAAAUGACGAGAAAUGUGUACUAGGAUGAUGUGCCUCGAAGAAGAGGGUUCUCUGGUUUUAACAAGAAGGUUUAGUUCUCUGAUGGUAAGAGUUCUUUUUCUUGAGAAUGACCAAUGAUGUUGAUUUAAGAGCUUCGCUUUUGGUUGAACUUACUUUAAGAACUUGAAAGGCUCUGAUUUACAAGGAGAGACAGAAAUAGUAUAGAGCGGAUCCGGCUCCAUACCGCGUAUGGAAAGUAGUCUACUUUUGGUUUGGGAGCCGCUGAUCGAUAGACAAGUAAAGGCAUCAAGUUUGAAGGUAGGUUUUGGGUAAAGGAUGGUGUUCAUGUAAAGCUUAAGAAAAACCAAGUUCCAGCCUUUUGUAAGCGAUUCAUAGUUAAUGAAUUUCGGUGGGGAUAAUGGGUUAAAGAGGAUGGGUGUUCGUUGAGACAUUGAGUAGUGGAUUAAAAGUUUGCGAAGAUGGAAAUGGCCCAAGGGAUUGUGAAGAUGCAAAUGGAGAUGAGAUGAAGCAAAAUCUGGUCAUAAUGGAAUCACAGGAACAGAUUGUGGUAGCUUUUUGUUAAUGCAUCAUUGGAAAGCAAGAACACCUGAUUCCUUGAUGGUGGAAACAAACCACAGGUUUCUUUUUUCUAUAAGUUUUAUAUCAAUUUUGGUUGAGUAUGCUAAAUAUGCAUGGCCUUUCUCAAUUUUUUUUUUCCCUUUCAAUUACAUAAAACUGUUUAUGUUCUGUAUACUGUGCUGUAUAUUGGGAUGUACCUUGCGAACUAAAUCUUAUUGUGCUGCUGAUUCUGUUAAGUUGGUAGAUCUUGCUACUUUCUUUUUGUGUCUGUUCAAAGGUCUGAAACAUGUUAAUUGGUAUAUUAAGGAACUAUCUCACUAUUUUUUAACAAUAAAAAGCUUACCUAGUUUCAUGCAUACUGUUAGAUGCAUCACAUAUGCAUGUCCAAGAUUUAUUCCAUGACACAUAACCCUUUUGGUCUCCUUUCCAUUGUAUUUCUAAUGGAAUUAUUCUGUGAUACAUGCUUACCUCUGCAUGUUAUGUUGCCCAAUUUGGAACUACAGUAAUAUAUCAUUUGAUGAUGUUAUAAAUGAUGAUGGAUGCCCCUAACAAUAGAAUCACAAUUACUGAUUCUGCUACCUCCUCAUUCGUAGUCUGAAGUUGUCUUUAUUCCAUUAGUUGAUGUGCUAGUUUUAACAAGAUCAUGUUGCAGGGUGUUGUUAUAUGGUCCAGGUGUGGUGAGGUUAAAAGGGACCAAAAGCCUAUUGUCACUUGAAGGCUUGAAGCCUUCCAACUUUUAGUGGUUUGCAUCACGAAAUGGCUAACAUUGGUGUCAGUGUCCAAUUGGGUACUGUCAAUGUUGGUUUUUAAAAGGCUUGUUCCUUGUGAGCUUGGUUCUCCAAUGGUACAUUUUUGUUUGUUAAAGAAUGACCAGUGAUCUGAUUUGAAGAACAUGAAAGGCUAAGAUUAAUGAGGACGGAAAAAUAUAGAAACAAAAUAAAAGUGGAACCCGCUCCAUAAAGGGAAUGAAAAUUUUAGUCUACUUUGGUUUAGGCUCCAUAUCAGUAGACAGUAGAGGCACUGAACUGAAGGUAGGGUUGGAGUAUUCAUGUAAAGACAGAAAAGUUGCGGAAAAUUCAACCUUCUAGCUGUUUUUUAUUUUUUAUUAUUAUUUUUUUUUUUUUUGCAUUUUGCUGGACAAGGAAUUGCUGGUGCUAGUGGGCAGGUUUUCUGUCAAAUCUCUGGGUAUAAGAAUUUGGUUCAUUCAUCCUUUCUGCCCAACAGUUGUAAAAUAAGGGAAGAGCCUGAUCUGGAGGUCCAUUUGAGAUAGAUUGUGAGAUUGUUGUUUUCAAAAUUGGAUGGGUUAUUCACCUUCUUCGAGGAGGUAUGGAUUUGUUGGUCUGAGAAAAGGGUGUAUUCUAUUGAAGAGAGGGUUUCAUCAAUUAUGUGUUUGGAGAAGGGUUUGUGAAGAUGUAGAUGAGCUUGAGCAUGCAUAUUAUGGGAAAGCAAGCAGAAGCAUUGUCACCUGAUUUUAAGAUGGAGCUAUGACCACUCAGAUUUAAGCUUUUCUUUUUGCAACUAUUCCUUCAUUUUCUUUUCCCCUCUUUUGUUCUGAUAAAGCUCGUUUAUGCUGUGUAAUCUGUUGGUAAAUAACAGAACUGCAUGACAGGAUAACUAUGCCUUGAAGAACAA